UAAUGAUAUUACCUUAUUAUUAGUGUCGUCCAAAACUGGUGCCAGAAGACUCGGUAAGGCCAGAGACACGAACGUUAAUCGUCUUAAUCAGGCGUAAAGGGUUUGUAGGCGGCUUACAAAUUUAUUUAAAUAAUAUUAAGUAAAGAAUAAAAGCUAGAAUCAAAUAGAGGAUAUAUGAAAGAAUGCUUAGAGUAGGUCUGAUAUCCUUAGAUACUAAGUAGAAUAUUAAAGGCGAAAGCUUUUUUCCAUUAAUGAUUGACGCUCAGAAACGAAGGUGAGGAUAGGAAAUAGGAUUAGAUACCCAGAAUACCCCUCUCUGUCAACGAUGAAUGGUAGUUAUUAGUAAAAAUUAUUAAUGGCAAUGUUAACACGAUAACCAUUCCGCCUUGUGAGUACAACUGCAAGUUGAAAACAAAAAAAUUAGUCGGUUUCGGACAAACGAAGUGAAGCAUGUUAUUUAA
rnacentral:rRNA from 1 species